rnacentral:rRNA from 1 species
UACGGGGGGGGUAAGCGUUGUUCGGAAUUACUGGGCGUAAAGGGCUCGUAGGCGGCCAACUAAGUCGGAUGUGAAAUCCCCAGGCUUAACCUGGGAACUGCAUCCGAUACUGGCAGGCUUGAAUCCGGGAGAGGGAUGUGGAAUUCCAGGUGUAGCGGUGAAAUGCGUAGAUAUCUGGAGGAACACCGGUGGCGAAGGCGGCAUCCUGGACCGGUAUUGACGCUGAGGCGCGAAAGCCAGGGGAGCAAACGGG